AGUAGUGUUGGGCUAAAAAAUCCUUAGGAUAGGUUAGAUUGAUACCUGGAAGUUGGCCGUUUGUAAGAUAGGGUCGAAAUCAGACCUUUGGCCACAAAAAUGACAAGCUAGGAUAAAAUAGGGAUUUCAUUCAAAGAUCGGAGGAUAGGAUUUGAGAGCUAGCUUGAAGUUCUUUUUAAAAGCAUAAGGAUUGUUUUUCGAGGAUUUUUGAAGACUUAGCAAUUAUUGUUCAAAAUCAAGGUUUAUAUUGGUGAUUUGGGUUUUAUAUAAUAUAAUUAGGGCUAGCAAUUUUGGCUAGUUCGUGCAAUUGGUAUAACAUAUAUAGUUGAAAAUUUGAAACUAUUUGAAUUAUUAGGUGUACUAAGUGUAUACAAAAAUUUUUGAUAAUCUAAUGGCAUGGUUUAGAGAUAUCUAGGUUUUAGUACAAGAGAGUUUCAGAAGUUGGUAGUUUGAGGUUGGAUAGGCUUUCUAUGAUAUCUAGAGAUCUAUCAGUUGAAUCAAGGUGAAAUUUGGCAUGGUAUUGAAGGACUUGAAGAUCAAGUUGCAGAUCAAUUUUCAAUCAUAAUUAACUGUUGGAAAGGGAGAAAUCACUGCUGGGAUUUCUACUUCACUUUUCAAGUUGGCAGUCGAGUGACAUCUGUGCACUUUUUGGAGGUUUUCUCACAAUUAUUAAGUUGGAUUGAGCUAGAAAUUCUUGAGCAUAUAGAAGACUUACAUUGACAAUUGCAUGCAAAAUUUUAUAUCAAGUGGACGGUCGGAUUGCAUGUUACAGCUUAUUAA
rnacentral:lncRNA from 1 species